rnacentral:rRNA from 1 species
GUGGGGAAUAUUGGACAAUGGGCGAAAGCCUGAUCCAGCCAUGCCGCGUGUGUGAAGAAGGCCUUUUGGUUGUAAAGCACUUUAAGCGAGGAGGAGGCUACCGAGAUUAAUACUCUUGGAUAGUGGACGUUACUCGCAGAAUAAGCACCGGCUAACUCUGUGCCAGCAGCCGCGGUAAUACAGAGGGUGCAAGCGUUAAUCGGAUUUACUGGGCGUAAAGCGCGCGUAGGUGGCCAAUUAAGUCAAAUGUGAAAUCCCCGAGCUUAACUUGGGAAUUGCAUUCGAUACUGGUUGGCUAGAGUAUGGGAGAGGAUGGUAGAAUUCCAGGUGUAGCGGUGAAAUGCGUAGAGAUCUGGAGGAAUACCGAUGGCGAAGGCAGCCAUCUGGCCUAAUACUGACACUGAGGUGCGAAAGCAUGGGGAGCAAACAGGAUUAGAAACCCCAGUAGUCC